GCCUAAAAUGUACAAGAAAAGAGGAAUCUUUAUGAGAAUUUAAUUCAACAGAAGCUAUAAAACAGAGUGUGGAAGAGCCUAACACAAUCAUAUAUAUAAAAAAAAAAACAGACUGCUAUGAACACUAUGGUAACCAAAACCUUUUAUGAUUCAUGAUACAUGUAAGAGUGAAGAAGAGGCUAAAUAUUCAAGAAAAAAAGGAAGCUUUCAUUCAAUAAAAGCUAAUAGGCAACGUAGUAUAGGUUCAUCAAAGCUAAAACAGAGUGUGGAAGAGCCUAACGCAAAAAAAAAAACAGAGUCCUAUUAACACCACGGUAAACAAAAAACUGAAGGACCUAAAUAUCCAAGAAAAAUAGAAGCUUUAUGAGAUUUUUCAUUCAACAGAAGCUAAUAGACAACGUAAGAUAGGUCCAUCAAAGCUAAAACAGAGUGUGGCAGAGCCUGAGCCUAACACAUCACACAACAACAAAAGUACAGAGUGAUAU